GGUUGGUGCAAAAGUAAUUGCAGUUUUUGCCAUUACUUUUAAUUGCAAAAACUGCAAUUAAUUUUGUGCGAACCUAAUA
rnacentral:miRNA from 1 species